CCAUUUACGAAUAAGUGAAUGUGACUUGUAUGUAUGUAUGCAGAUAUGGAACUGUAGCGUGUGUAAGUAGUGUGAACUUGUAUGUACGCACAUAUGAAUAGGAUACGUAUGAAUGUUCUUAGAUAUAUGAAAGUGUACAUACGUGUGGUAAUCUUAUGAUUGUAGAUCACUGGUAUAUGUAUAUGUGAAGAUGUGGGUUUUCAAUAUGUUUGAGAUUACGUAUUCCUAACCAUGUUACUAUGAGAAUGAAAUGGAGUGCAGGUAUGGGACGCCGGACUAUCGAGGAAUUGAUGUCGGACUCGAGUAAAUAAAAUUGAAAGGAUGUUUCAGUGGAAUACCUUACGUAGUUAGAAUGUGGUUAGUCAGAUAUUCAUGAUAGACAAGUGAACGAGGGUCGAGUUGAAGAUCAUGGAUUGUACGGGAAAGCGGUCAUGUUGUUUGUAAUUAUUUGUUAACAUAGUUACAUUAAAUAAAUGAU